GAAACGGUCCGUUAGAGGCGGCAGAGGCCGCUCAUGUCUCCGGUCAGACCGGGAAAAGUGGAGUUACCAAAGUCGGGAGAAGUUUAACUCUGAGGCCUUUCUGUUGUGGAGGCACUGCUGCUGCGGUGGAAGACGGAAGUCUUGAAGUGGGAGUUACAAGACAAAUCCUACAGAAGAGAAUCAGAACCAGAGGAUAAGGACACACCCCCAGACUGAAGGUCUCCCACAGCAGAAUUCCAUAACUCCACACAUCACUCUCUGAGCUGUAACGCCCUGCAACAGCCAAUCACAGAGCAGGAGACAUCAGGGACCAAUCACAGUAACAGGUUUAACCUACUGUGGCAGAGACAUUACUGGAGAUCAUAAGCACGGCAGAACAGGUCAGCACCAGGACGUGUUUAUUACCAUGGAUAAAUACUACCGAGGGGACAAAGCAGACAUUUCUCUGUGUAGAGUUAAGUUUCACUUUCACUUCAGUUUGGUCCCUUCUCCAGUUUAAUACACAGUGAUGAUGCUUAUGCUGGUUCUUUACUAGCAGGACCAACACAAACAACAUAGCAGCUUUGUCGUUCAGCAAGCUGAUCAGCGAAGGUUCCCAACACAUCCCACACACGGACUGUGGUGUGACUCUCACACCACCACACCAACCUGCACCAUCCAACUGGAAUCCAGCCGCCCCGGGACGACUCUGCCUUAAGUGCUCGAGCACGGCAGUUGUACUGCUUACAUCAGACGUUUCGAUGCACGUUUCAAAAAUCAACGUAUUUACGUGUUAGAUAACUUUGAUUAUGCCGACGCAUAACGCAGCCCUAGUCAGAUG